rnacentral:rRNA from 1 species
AGAGUUUGAUCCUGGCUCAGGACGAACGCUGGCGGCGUGCUUAAUACAUGCAAGUCGAGCGGGGUUACUGCGACAGAUCCCUUCGGGGUGACGUUGCUUUAACCUAGCGGCGGACGGGUGAGUAACGCGUGGGUAACCUACCCUAAAGCUCGGGAUAACAGUGGGAAACCGCUGCUAAUACCGGAUGACUUUAACCUAUGGCAUCAUGGGUUAAAGAAAGAUUUAUCGCUUUAGGAUGGGCCCGCGUCCCAUUAGCUAGUUGGUGAGGUAACGGCUCACCAAGGCGACGAUGGGUAGCCGGCCUGAGAGGGUGUACGGCCACACUGGGACUGAGACACGGCCCAGACUCCUACGGGAGGCAGCAGUAGGGAAUAUUGCGCAAUGGACGGAAGUCUGACGCAGCGACGCCGCGUGAGCGAUGAAGGCCUUCGGGUCGUAAAGCUCUGUCCUUGGGGAAGAAGGUCUUCGGACUUGACGGUACCCAAGAAGAAAGCCCCGGCUAACUACGUGCCAGCAGCCGCGGUAAUACGUAGGGGGCGAGCGUUGUCCGGAAUUACUGGGCGUAAAGGGUGCGUAGGCGGCCCUUUAAGUCAGAUGUGAAAGGCCACGGCUUAACCGUGGGAUUGCAUUUGAAACUGGAGGGCUUGAGUGUCGGAGAGGGUAGUGGAAUUCCCAGUGUAGCGGUGAAAUGCGUAGAUAUUGGGAGGAACACCAGUGGCGAAGGCGACUACCUGGACGAUAACUGACGCUGAGGCACGAAAGCUAGGGGAGCAAACAGGAUUAGAUACCCUGGUAGUCCUAGCCGUAAACGAUGGGUACUAGGUGUAGGUGGUUUCGAUACCAUCUGUGCCGGAGUUAACGCAAUAAGUACCCCGCCUGGGGAGUACGUGCGCAAGCAUGAAACUCAAAUGAAUUGACGG